AUUGAACGCUGGCGGAAUGCUUUACACAUGCAAGUCGAGCGGCAGCGCGGGGGCAACCCUGGCGGCGAGCGGCGAACGGGUGAGUAACAUAUCGGAACGUACCCUGUCUGGGGGGAUAACUAUCCGAAAGGAUAGCUAAUACCGCAUACGACCUGAGGGUGAAAGCGGGGGACCGCAAGGCCUCGCGCGAUAGGAGCGGCCGAUAUCGGAUUAGCUAGUUGGUGAGGUAAAGGCUCACCAAGGCGACGAUCCGUAGCGGGUCUGAGAGGACGACCCGCCACACUGGAACUGAGACACGGUCCAGACUCCUACGGGAGGCAGCAGUGGGGAAUUUUGGACAAUGGGGGCAACCCUGAUCCAGCCAUUCCGCGUGAGUGAAGAAGGCCUUCGGGUUGUAAAGCUCUUUCAGCAGGAACGAAACGGUGAGGGUUAAUACCCUUUACUAAUGACGGUACCUGAAGAAGAAGCACCGGCUAACUACGUG
rnacentral:rRNA from 1 species